rnacentral:rRNA from 1 species
UUGCCAGCCCGCCUCAGAAACUCAAAGGAAUUGACGGGGCCCGCACAAGCGGAGGAACAUGUGGUUUAAUUCGAUGAUACGCGAGGAACCUUACCUGGGCUUAAAUGGGGAGUGACAGCUGUCGAAAGAUGGUUUUCUUCGGACACUCUUCAAGGUGCUGCAUGGUUGUCGUCAGCUCGUGCCGUGAGGUGUCGGGUUAAGUCCCAUAACGAGCGCAACCCUUACCGUUAGUUACCAUCAGGUUAAGCUGGGGACUCUAGCGGGACUGCCACCGUAAGGUGAGAGGAAGGUGGGGAUGACGUCAAAUCAGCACGGCCCUUAUGUCCAGGGCUACACACGUGUUACAAUGGCCGGUACAAAGGGCAGCUACUUCGCGAGAAGAUGCUAAUCUCGAAAGCCGGUCUCAGUUCGGAUCGAAGUCUGCAACCCGACUUCGUGAAGCUGGAUUCGCUAGUAAUCGCGCAUCAGCCAUGGCGCGGUGAAUACGUUCCCGGGCCUU